rnacentral:lncRNA from 1 species
AGAUCACAGGGACGGUCACAUCAGCACUGACGUUACUGACACAGUAAAUGGAGGGUGAGGGAUAACAUUGCCUCAUGAUCUUACCAUCCGAGCGCACUGCUUCUUUCUUCACUCUGGGUAAAAAUAACCUGGGCAGGAAUAAAGACAUGCAGAGGACGAGGCAGGAGACGAAGGUGAUCUUCUGACACGUGGAAAUCGCCAUAUCGAUAGCAGAGAGAGAGAAGACGCCGCAGAGCAAACGGUGACGGACGUCAACAUCACGACAUCUCUUCUGUCCCGAUGACGCGGAAAUGACUGAAAACAUUAAUCCGACAUCCGGGUUUGCGUCCAGAUGACUGAUCUAGAUGGGAGCUGAUGUUGUGGGCCGUCACAUUCACAUUGUUUUUGGCGUCCAGCAACUCCUGUGUACUGCUGUCCAGAAUCAUUGCUGCCUGUGCCGACCAUUCGCCUGUUCUUUGACCACGACUUUGGAUUGCUCUACAUGUACCUGUUUGACCCUGUUGACCGUUACUUGCCUAACCA